CCACCUGCUAGAUUGUUCAGAAGGUUGUUAUCAUCCAUCCAGAUGGAGGAUCACUGACAGGAGCGUGGAAGACUCCAGAAUCCACUCUGGCUGGAAUCCGGUGGAUACAGCAGUGUUUACAGAACAGUUCUCCACAGUCACUGUCCACAUGGGUCAGUGGGACCAAGAAGCACUCUGCUAAUGUGUGGACUCUGACCAGCAACAUCCAGCAAGACCCAGGCAGCGUUUUCUAUCUCCCAGCUGGAGUUUUUUUGUUUGUCUGUGACUGGAGAGUCAGAUUUUUGUUGAGGCUGGAGGAACAGAGAGGUUAAUACACUCUACUGAUCCCUGAUGGGAGAAUCAUCACCUCUGCCAACAAAGAAGCCUGGUGGAUGUUUGUUUGCAGUCUGAUGAUGGGACAUCAUGCUCUGCAUCUUCAAAGUUUGUCUCUUGAUUAUUAUUCAUACACAGUAAUGUGAAGUAUGCUCAUAUCUAGUAUACCUGGACCAACCUGGUGCUCUUCAUUUAUGGAGGCUGUUGAGUCUGAAUGUUGGAUGUUGUGUAUCUCGUGUUCUCUGGGCUUUGUUGUCCUCAGUCUUUUUGCAGGAUCAGAAAACAAAACCAGGAGGCCUGUAAAUGUUUCUUCUCCAAUUGGAUGAUGAUAAGACUGUGACACGGGAUGCCACCUUUAGUCUUGUGAUGAAGCAAAGCUCAGGAAGAAGUGUGAUUAAAUGGUACCCACAUGUGUGCUGCUGAGAAGGAUGUACAGGGGCACCUGCAGCCAAAUCCAAGCCUCCUCAGCAACUUCAGGUCUGUCAGCGUGCUGAGGUCACAGAAACAAGAAAAGCAGCUUCAGAGUGUUGUUUACAGUUUUCUGUCAUCAUGAUCUCCCCUGAAGUUUAUCACUAUUUUACAAGCAAUGGUGAUGGUGUGGAGAGGCGGUGGUGUUUCCUCAGAAGAACUAGCAGAGUCACAAAGGACACGAGUCCUUCUCACCACCUUGACUUGCUGACUGAUGCUCGUCUGCACUGCACAGAGGAAAUCAACUGACCGAGUUUCUGAGUGAGGGAGAGAGGAGUCAUCAUCCAGGUAAAGUGACGUGGAUCAGUGGAUACACUUGUCUCCCCUUUAGAGGAGAUACUCUUAGAGAGAGACGAUCUGAGUCAUCCUUAAAUAUGGGCAGGAUAUCACUAUUAGACUGUCUAACCUGCCGGAGCAGCACUGAAUGAUCACCACACAUGAGCAUGUUCCUGCAACAUUCAGCAGCUUUGCUUUUGCUGGAGAGGAAACUACACCAGUGUACUGGGAUGUUUCACCA
ensembl:lncRNA